CGGUCUAUUGUGUACGGAGAACUAGACGAAAGGGAAGGAGUGCUUCGUUAGAGGUUAGGGCGUGCGUUCUGCGUUGGAGCAGCAGCGUAACGAGAGGAGUUGUUGACGAUGCGCAGGUGCGCGGCGAUGGAGGCGGUGAAGAGGACGCGAAAGAGACGGGGCAAGUGGAGACGGGACGCGGCGGAGGAGGAGACCUCUUCCUCGUACCGCGGGCAGCGACACGGACCACCCCUAGGCCGCGUAGGGGAGAGGUGAGUGGAGGAGGAGAGGACCCAGGGACACAACGGCAGAGUCCACGAAGAGGACGCAGAAGAGGAGGAUCGACUCAGGAGCUGGUCUAGUCGCAGGCAGCAUCCUCCGAACCCACCAGCGUCCAAGCCCGCGUUGAGGAAGGAAGGGCAUGCGAUCCUAGUUUGUCGGGCACUCGGACCGCCACGGACGGACCUAGGCCUCCAUCUACCUGAUCUAGGAUCUCGACCCGUACUUCCUCGAGCUCCAGCUGCUGAGGCCGAAGCAGGAGGAGGAGACUACAGCAGUGGAACGGGCCCAGGUUGUGUGGAUAGGUAGCGGGGUUAAAAAUAGUAAAGCAGCACUAAUGGUUAGGCGCGGUAGGCAUCACACACGGAAGACGGGAAGAGUGGUGAGACUUGAGCCUCCGCCACCUUUAACCCACCCCUUCCAAAAGCUCGAGUUUUAAUUUGGGCCAAGAUCUUAUCAUCUUCGACCACGACCCUACCAGCCAUCCGUCACCGUGAGAAUCCAAAGGUAACGAAGUUUAGAUAAACCAAAAUCCACUAAACCGUGGGUUUUGAGUGUUGUGACAACGAUGUGUAGUCAAGUUCUUAGUUCCGUUUAUCGCCAUAAAGGGAAACCCCACUUACCUGCUUGACUAAUACCCUUCUGCUUGGUUCAUCAAAUAUGUCAUGAGAGUUAAAAAGUGUGAAGGUCACUUAAUUUGACUACUAAAUCUACACUGAAGAGAGGAAGCAUGUAACAAACCCCCAAACCAAACUCUUCACCCAACGUCGUGAGUACUAAAACGAACAAAGCCCCUACCUUACUUAACCCGUAGUUGUAGUGCGUGCGUGCGUGCGUGCGUGCGUCGUGCGUGCGUGCGUGCGUGCGUGAUCUUUGGUCUCUCUUAAUUUGUCUAUCCCAAAACUUUAACUGAGCCAUCGACUUAGUACCAGGUACUUAAACACAUUUUGCUGUUCACGCGAUGACUUAAUUUUAAGAUGGACAAGUAAGGUGACGGGUCAAUGGUAGACUUUCCAAGAUAAAACGGUGCCGUUGAGAUUAAUCUAACAAUAUCAAGCCUGAUUCCCCUAGUUCUAAUCAGUAGACAAUGGUACAUGACACUUGGAGUUGUGAUCGACUCAUCGAUGCAUCGAUUAGUAACUAGAACAGAACCCACUUUCCCACCGCAAACAAUUAAGUCUAUGACUUUCCAUUGGGUGUGACUGAAAUAAACAAAUGAAAGGAAUACUUGGGAAUAAACGAAUCGAAGACAACUACUAUAAAGAUUAGAAAAUAGAAGCAGCCAUUUGAGUUGACGUAGAGUCAAAAGACAAGGGCAAAGGACCUAACCCCCAGGACCACGCGUUCUAAGAAGACAAACGAUGCCGCGUGCGUCUGGACCUACUGUGGUUCGUAACUGCACACGUGCAAGCAGCGUUGUCGGUGUGGAGUUGGGAGGACUGCGUGUGUUGUUAAUCGCCACGGUUUUACUAAACCACAAACGUUCCCCAGACGAAAACAACGUAAAAGAUGUGCACUCUUUGGUAGAGUCCGAUAAACCUACGUGGACGUGUCAUGACUAUCAUGUACUUUAAGUAGUUGGACGACAACGGCGUUGGUUGGUUUCAAACGAGAUUGUCUCACUACUUAUGUUUAUAAGUACGAUUCGAAAGAAGUUUAAUACGAUUAACUAGAAUUUUUUGACCGAUGACCACAAUAACGAUGUUAAAUAAAGACUGUCGGUCCAUCAGAACCAUACGAAAGCACUACGUUAAAUAAAGACUGUCUGUUUGAUACGAUUAACUAGAACUUUUCGACCGAUGACCACAAUAGACGAAACACCUUCCGACAACCGUAAUUUGAAAUCACGAGCCGACAGGUAGUAUCAUAGUAAAGGAGCUAUUAAUUACUCCGUACUUUUUAUCCACUUUAACGUCCUUUUAACUUCUUUGCCUCCUUGUGCUAAGUAAAACAGUUACCCUUGUAGAUGACAAUGUCUAUGUGAAAGACAUGAGAUGGAUAGCUACCGUGUUACAAACUUAUAAUUCAGUAAAUUAAAACAGUAAUCGUCCAAAUAAAUACAAGUAUGAGGUGCAUACGUGCACGACGAGGUCACCACAAAACAAUAAACUAACCGUAUUUACCUAGAGAGGUACAAAUAACCAACUAGAGGUUGGGGAUGAGACGACACCACGACACCCUCGUUCUUCUCGUACGUACGAAAGAGAGAUGUAGAUCCCAGGUAUGCCGGUCUAACUGCCCGGAUUUGAGACCGAGUUUCCAAAGAAAGUUCUUAGUUCUCUCUUGUAAGUUCCUCACCUAACAAACCUUUAAUUUUGGAAGUCUAAAGAAUCUUGAAGUGAACCUAAAUACACUUAUAUUCGCAUUCUACAGAUCACCGUUACGAUGUUUUAGUAACGUCCGCACUGAGCACUCAUAGGCCUAACGUGACGACGACCGGCAAAGAACGUUGACGCGUGUUGUCCGAAGACUGUUUCGGUUCAGUACCUGAGUACUCCAGGGAAAAAAGUCGGUUUGACUUUCGUGAAGUACAAUCGAACAUAAGCUACAACCUAAUUGAUGUUACGUAACAUGGGUAGGUACGAGGUCCCACUCAGACAUGUAUAGGAACAAUCUACGUGGUUACGGAUACUAUCAAGACUUGAGAUUGUUAUAUCAUAGCAUACAAAUUAGCUACAAGAUGAUAAUCUAGUAUUACAAUAUCGUAUA
rnacentral:rRNA from 1 species